UAGAUGACGCUGGCGGCGUGCCUAAUACAUGCAAGUCGAGCGAACGGACGAGAAGCUUGCUUCUCUGAUGUUAGCGGCGGACGGGUGAGUAACACGUGGAUAACCUACCUAUAAGACUGGGAUAACUUCGGGAAACCGGAGCUAAUACCGGAUAAUAUUUUGAACCGCAUGGUUCAAAAGUGAAAGACGGUCUUGCUGUCACUUAUAGAUGGAUCCGCGCUGCAUUAGCUAGUUGGUAAGGUAACGGCUUACCAAGGCAACGAUGCAUAGCCGACCUGAGAGGGUGAUCGGCCACACUGGAACUGAGACACGGUCCAGACUCCUACGGGAGGCAGCAGUAGGGAAUCUUCCGCAAUGGGCGAAAGCCUGACGGAGCAACGCCGCGUGAGUGAUGAAGGUCUUCGGAUCGUAAAACUCUGUUAUUAGGGAAGAACAUAUGUGUAAGUAACUGUGCACAUCUUGACGGUACCUAAUCAGAAAGCCACGGCUAACUACGUGCCAGCAGCCGCGGUAAUACGUAGGUGGCAAGCGUUAUCCGGAAUUAUUGGGCGUAAAGCGCGCGUAGGCGGUUUUUUAAGUCUGAUGUGAAAGCCCACGGCUCAACCCGUGGAGGGUCAUUGGAAACUGGAAAACUUGAGUGCAGAAGAGGAAAGUGGAAUUCCAUGUGUAGCGGUGAAAUGCGCAGAGAUAUGGAGGAACACCAGUGGCGAAGGCGACUUUCUGGUCUGUAACUGACGCUGAUGUGCGAAAGCGUGGGGAUCAAACAGGAUUAGAUACCCUGGUAGUCCACGCCGUAAACGAUGAGUGCUAAGUGUUAGGGGGUUUCCGCCCCUUAGUGCUGCAGCUAACGCAUUAAGCACUCCGCCUGGGGAGUACGACCGCAAGGUUGAAACUCAAAGGAAUUGACGGGGACCCGCACAAGCGGUGGAGCAUGUGGUUUAAUUCGAAGCAACGCGAAGAACCUUACCAAAUCUUGACAUCCUUUGACAACUCUAGAGAUAGAGCCUUCCCCUUCGGGGGACAAAGUGACAGGUGGUGCAUGGUUGUCGUCAGCUCGUGUCGUGAGAUGUUGGGUUAAGUCCCGCAACGAGCGCAACCCUUAAGCUUAGUUGCCAUCAUUAAGUUGGGCACUCUAAGUUGACUGCCGGUGACAAACCGGAGGAAGGUGGGGAUGACGUCAAAUCAUCAUGCCCCUUAUGAUUUGGGCUACACACGUGCUACAAUGGACAAUACAAAGGGCAGCGAAACCGCGAGGUCAAGCAAAUCCCAUAAAGUUGUUCUCAGUUCGGAUUGUAGUCUGCAACUCGACUACAUGAAGCUGGAAUCGCUAGUAAUCGUAGAUCAGCAUGCUACGGUGAAUACGUUCCCGGGUCUUGUACACACCGCCCGUCACACCACGAGAGUUUGUAACACCCGAAGCCGGUGGAGUAACCUUUUAGGAGCUAGCCGUCGAAGGUGGGACAAAUGAUGGG
rnacentral:rRNA from 1 species